UACGGAGGGUGCAAGCGUUAUCCGGAUUCACUGGGUUUAAAGGGUGCGUAGGUGGGCAGGUAAGUCAGUGGUGAAAUCUCCGGGCUUAACUCGGAAACUGCCAUUGAUACUAUCUUUCUUGAAUACCGUGGAGGUCAGCGGAAUAUGUCAUGUAGCGGUGAAAUGCGUAGAUAUGACAUAGAACACCAAUUGCGAAGGCAGCUGGCUACACGAAUAUUGACACUGAUGCACGAAAGCGUGGGGAUCAAACAGG
rnacentral:rRNA from 1 species